rnacentral:tRNA from 1 species
UCCCAGAUAGCUCAGUUGGAAAAGAAUCUGUGUGCAGUGCAGGAGACCCAGGUUUGAUUCCUGGGUUGGGAA